rnacentral:rRNA from 1 species
GACGAACGCUGGCGGCGUGCCUAAUACAUGCAAGUCGAGCGGACCAAAGGGAGCUUGCUCCUGGAGGUUAGCGGCGAACGGGUGAGUAACACGUGGGCAACCUGCCUGUAAGACUGGGAUAACAUCGAGAAAUCGGUGCUAAUACCGGAUAAUAAAAAGAACUGCAUGGUUCUUUUUUGAAAGAUGGUUUCGGCUAUCACUUACAGAUGGGCCCGCGGCGCAUUAGCUAGUUGGUGAGGUAACGGCUCACCAAGGCAACGAUGCGUAGCCGACCUGAGAGGGUGAUCGGCCACACUGGGACUGAGACACGGCCCAGACUCCUACGGGAGGCAGCAGUAGGGAAUCUUCCGCAAUGGACGAAAGUCUGACGGAGCAACGCGCGUGAGUGAUGAAGGUUUUCGGAUCGUAAAACUCUGUUGUUAGGGAAGAACAAGUGCCGUUCGAAAGGGCGGCACCUUGACGGUACCUAACGAGAAAGCCACGGCUAACUACGUGCCAGCAGCCGCGGUAAAGU